rnacentral:lncRNA from 1 species
GCAGGGAGGCGGAGGGCUAGCGAGCCAAGCGGUGGGGACGCCGCUGCCUUCCUCUUUGCCUGUCUCGCCGCCCUCCUAGACACGCUCCUCAUCUACGGAUCCUACCCUCCCCGCUCUUGCAAGCAUUCACUCGGCCGGUCGCCUGCUGACCCUCCUUCGCCACAGGCAUGAAGACCCCCAACGCACAGGAAGCCGAAGGGCAACAAACCAGGGCAGCUGCAGGACGGGCCACUGGGUCUGCAAACAUGACAAAGAAAAAAGUCUCCCAAAAGAAGCAGAGAGGCCGACCUUCAUCCCAGCCCCGCAGGAACAUCGUGGGCUGCAGAAUUUCUCAUGGAUGGAAGGAAGGAGAUGAGCCCAUCACGCAGUGGAAAGGAACCGUUCUGGAUCAGCUGCCUGAAACCACAGGUGGUUCCGACAAAUAAUCCACUAAAAGAGGCCUGCUGUCCCAAGAAUCCACAUUCUGGUUAGACCUUCCCCACAAAGCUGGUGUCUGCAGACCCCUCACAGGCACCUGUUGGCCAGUCUUGCCUACCCCAGCUCACAGAGACCUGUGAUGGAAUUCUGGUCAGCUCUUUGUUUCCAGGUGAGGCAGAUGCCAUGGGGC